rnacentral:tRNA from 1 species
GCCUGGGUGGCUCAGUCAGUUGAGCGUCUGACUUUGGCUCAGGUCAGUCUGUGAGUUCGAGCCCCGCAUUGGGCU